rnacentral:rRNA from 1 species
UACGAAGGUGGCAAGCGUUGUUCGGAUUUACUGGGUGUACAGGGAGCGUAGGCGGUUGGAUAAGCCCUCCGUGAAAUCUCCAGGCUUAACCUGGAAAGUGCAGAGGGGACUGUUCAGCUAGAGGAUGGGAGAGGAGCGCGGAAUUCCCGGUGUAGCGGUGAAAUGCGUAGAUAUCUGGAGGAACACCGGUGGCGAAGGCGGCAUCCUGGACCGAUACUGACGCUGAGGAGCGAAAGCCAGGGGAGCAAACGGG